GACGAACGCUGGCGGCGUGCCUAACACAUGCAAGUCGAGCGGGGAUUUGGGAGCUUGCUCCUGGAUCCUAGCGGCGGACGGGUGAGUAACGCGUGAGCAACCUGCCUUUUACUGGGGGAUAACGCAUCGAAAGAUGUGCUAAUACCGCGUAAGACCACGCUACCGCAUGGUAGAGGGGUCAAAGGAGCAAUCCGGUAAAAGAUGGGCUCGCGUCCGAUUAGCUAGUUGGUGAGAUAACGGCCCACCAAGGCGACGAUCGGUAGCCGGACUGAGAGGUUGAACGGCCACAUUGGGACUGAGACACGGCCCAG
rnacentral:rRNA from 1 species